AGAGUCGGCUAUGCAGUCGCCUUCGCAAGGCCGAAAGGCUGCGGGGGAGGAAAGUCCGGGCUCCGCAGGGCGAGAAUAACGGGUAACACCCGCCGUAGGCAACUACAGGACAAGUGCAACAGAAAUAGGACACCGUCAAAAUCGCGGCAUUGACGCGGUUUCGGCGGCAAGUGUGGAAAGGUGAGGUAAGAGCUCACCGGUUUCCCGGGUGACCGGGGAAUCCUGUAAACUCUAUUCGGAGCAACACCGCAAAAGGGGAGGGGGCGUUCGCGCCCCAAGGCUUGCCCGGCUUCCCCGGGGGUGGCAUCGAGCCGACUGGCAACAGGCGGCCCAGAUAGAUGACUGCACACGACAGAACCCGGCUUACCGGCCGGCUUUGCAC
rnacentral:RNase_P_RNA from 1 species